rnacentral:snoRNA from 1 species
CCCCUCUCAGGUUCACACCUGGAGAGUUUUCAGUCCUCUACCAGUCUCGAUUACAGGAGGGAGAGUUCAGCAGAGGCCUACCCAUUCCAUUCCUAGCUUGGGCAGUGGUUAGCUAGUGGAAGACAAUCUGCUACAAGU